UGUCGACCGCCGCGAUACUUCGGAGCUGGCAUCCAAGGAUUCCUGAUUGUUUUCAUCUGUUCCCAGACCUUUCAAUCUCGAACAAAAUGGUUCAUGAGUUCGCCAAAGUGCCAGGAGUGCGGAAUACUUGCCUUCAAAGUGCAGAUGCUUUAUCGGUCGACGACCCAACCCACGACCACACCUAGUAUCAGCAUUUUGAGAUAAAUGGCUGACUAAAGUAAAUAUCCUGAACAUUCGACCAAGUUCUUAUGGCAGGUAAAGGAGAAAAUGUCGAAUCGAAUACAGGCCCUUCUGUUGCUAGUCGUGAUCAUCAAAAUGUAGAGAUCGAAAGAAAAUUCACUGUGUCUGUGGACACAGAAACCAAACUUACACAGUCAGGGGGAACAUGUGUUCUGGUGGAGACCAUGAAAGAUUCGUACUUUGAUUCGGACCAACUCAUUUUAACCAUGGCAGACCACUGGCUAAGACGUCGGAAUGGUAAGUGGGAACUGAAGGUACCACUCUCUGGUUGGCCUACAAACAAGUACAACGCUUCCGAGACAUGCACAAAGUAUUCAGAAAUAACUAAUGAACAAGAAAUAGUUGCGAAUUUGUGCGCAAUUAUUAAUGCAAAGACAGAUGUCGACAAGCAUGACAAGAUGACCCACUCUUCGGAAGAGGAAACACAUUCUGCCAAGGAGGAUCUGAGUCUCGAGAAGUGUCUCAUCGAGAAUGCAUUGAUGCCAUUUGCCCAAUUCACAACCUACCGUAAGACGUACUCAAUGGGUGGAGGCAUUCUUGUUGUAGUGGACCAGACUGAUUUUGGGUACAGUGUGGGUGAAAUUGAAAUGAUGACUGGACCAUCCCCAGCAGACCUCCUUGCAGCUGAGGCGAAAAUUGAGGAGAUGGCGGAGAAACUAGAAUGAUGCAGUUAAAAAACUUUCUCUAUUUCUGACUGAAAACUGACUGGAUGUUGAGCUUAUUUGGAACAGCAGGCCAGUUCAAAGGUUUGGGGACGCAGACAGUUGCAGCGGGAAAGAUGAGUAUGUUCCUGAAGAAGUUUGCUGAGCCACACUACCAGGCACUCCUUGCAGC
rnacentral:misc_RNA from 1 species